CCGGAGACUAGACUCCCUUCCUGGUUGUGCAGAUGGCUGUUGUCUGGGACGGUGAUCUGCUCUCCACAUUCCCAGACGUGAGCAAGGAAAGACGACAGAGGAUGCAAGAGACAUGGGUGAUCUGCUUGCCUGAACUAUGGCUGCAGAGUGAAACCAUCCUUAGCUGGAGUGCUCUCUACCCACCAAAACUCCAGCAAAGGAGAAGGCUCCUGCUGAACAGACAGGCUGAGCUCUGAAGGUGCAUUUCUAUGGCUUCUCCUCCUUAUCGUCCACAUCUUGAGACCUCUGAAGACACCAUCAGGCACACAAAACAUCUUCCAGGAAGGUUUUGUCACAGCUGUGGCUUCAGAGCCACAGGUUUAACUGCCAUGCCUUAUCAGCACAAACAGGGUGGGGCACCAUCUGUUUUCCGUCUCGCGCCUCAAGCGCCACCUGAUGGUUGCAUACUGUAAGAGGCGGUGUCUCAAUGGACAAGGCUUGCGGGUGCACAGGGAAAUUUUAUUAUUGCUUCCAGCGGGAAGCACAGGAUCAGAUGUAGUAUUCAAUCUCAGCACUCUUUGGAAGACAGAAGGAGAGACAGGAUUUGAGGAAGCUUUCUUCUUGUCUUCAGAAUCUACUGUCAGUGGUCAGUCGGAUAAUGCUCCCAUCCUUGGUUGCUAUCAGACCUCAUUAUAGUCUGGAGUCAGGACCGUCUAAUUGAAUGCUGACCCCAUUCCUUAGUAAUCUCAGAAGCCUAGCAGAAUAUACAUGUAUGUUUGCCUUUCAAUUUCUUAAAAUUUUUAUUAUAUCUAAUAAAAUUUUAUAUUCUUACAAUUA